AAAAACUCCGGUGGUAUGAGAUGGACCCGCGUCUGAUUAGCUAGUUGGUGAGGUAACGGCCCACCAAGGCGACGAUCAGUAGCCGGCCUGAGAGGGCGACCGGCCACAUUGGGACUGAGACACGGCCCAAACUCCUACGGGAGGCAGCAGUGGGGAAUAUUGCACAAUGGGGGAAACCCUGAUGCAGCGACGCCGCGUGAGUGAAGAAGUAUUUCGGUAUGUAAAGCUCUAUCAGCAGGGAAGAAGAAAGACGGUACCUGACUAAGAAGCCCCGGCUAACUACGUGCCAGCAGCCGCGGUAAUACGUAGGGGGCAAGCGUUAUCCGGAUUUACUGGGUGUAAAGGGAGCGUAGACGGCUGUGCAAGUCUGAAGUGAAAGCCCAGGGCUCAACCCUGGGACUGCUUUGGAAACUGUGGAGCUAGAGUGCUGGAGAGGUAAGUGGAAUUCCUAGUGUAGCGGUGAAAUGCGUAGAUAUUAGGAGGAACACCAGUGGCGAAGGCGGCUUACUGGACAGUAACUGACGUUGAGGCUCGAAAGCGUGGGGAGCAAACAGGAUUAGAUACCCUGGUAGUCCACGCGGUAAACGAUGAAUACUAGGUGUUGGAGAG
rnacentral:rRNA from 1 species